AUUGAACGCUGGCGGCAUGCUUUACACAUGCAAGUCGAACGGCAGCACGAAAGAGCUUGCUCUUUUGGUGGCGAGUGGCGAACGGGUGAGUAAUGCAUCGGAACGUACCGAGUAAUGGGGGAUAACUGUCCGAAAGGAUAGCUAAUACCGCAUACGCUUUGAGAAGGAAAGUGGGGGCUCUUCGGACCUCACGUUAUUCGAGCGGCCGAUGUCUGAUUAGCUAGUUGGUGGGGUAAAGGCCUACCAAGGCGACGAUCGGUAGCGGGUCUGAGAGGAUGAUCCGCCACACUGGGACUGAGACACGGCCCAGACUCCUACGGGAGGCAGCAGUGGGGAAUUUUGGACAAUGGGCGCAAGCCUGAUCCAGCCAUGCCGCGUGUCUGAAGAAGGCCUUCGGGUUGUAAAGGACUUUUGUUAGGGAAGAAAAGGAUAGUGUUAAUACCAUUAUCUGCUGACGGUACCUAAAGAAUAAGCACCGGCUAACUACGUG
rnacentral:rRNA from 1 species